AUUGAACGCUGGCGGCAGGCCUAACACAUGCAAGUCGAGCGGGGUUUUCGGACCUAGCGGCGGACGGGUGAGUAAUGCGUAGGAAGCUACCCGAUAGAGGGGGAUACCAGUUGGAAACGACUGUUAAUACCGCAUAAUGUCUACGGACCAAAGUGUGGGACCUUCGGGCCACAUGCUAUCGGAUGCGCCUACGUGGGAUUAGCUAGUUGGUGAGGUAAUGGCUCACCAAGGCGACGAUCCCUAGCUGGUUUGAGAGGAUGAUCAGCCACACUGGAACUGAGACACGGUCCAGACUCCUACGGGAGGCAGCAGUGGAGAAUAUUGGACAAUGGGCGCAAGCCUGAUCCAGCCAUGCCGCGUGUGUGAAGAAGGCCUUCGGGUUGUAAAGCACUUUCAGUAGGGAGGAAGGGUUAAGUGUUAAUAGUACUUAACUUUGACGUUACCUACAGAAGAAGCACCGGCUAACUCUGUGCCAGCAGCCGCGGUAACAC
rnacentral:rRNA from 1 species